ensembl:lncRNA
GGGGUGGUGGCCUUGAGGGGCGGGACACUCACGAGGGCAUCUCCCACAGAGAUGCACAGUCCGCCCUGGAAAUGCCUCAGGCUUUCAGAAGGAGCGGCUGCCCAAGGCCUCCAGGCUGCCAGGCUGGAGGGCUGCAGAAGAGGCCAGACCCCAGGGAGGGUGGUCUAAGCACCCCGCUCGCUCAGGCCUGCAGGAAGACACAGCCCGGUCCAGAUGGGCCCCUGGAGACCUUCCAGGGCAACCCGCGGGGCUGUUCACGAACCUGAAGCCCGGAGAGGAUGCCCCGGCUGCCCCAGGGGCCUGUCCGGGCGCUGGCCAGCCACUCCCCUAACGAUCCUCUAAGUAAUCGGUAAAAAAUAAAGGUGGCCCCAAUCACCGCCUCCCCCCGGAGGAACCUGGUGCUCCCCAAGGUUUUCUUUGGCCAAUCACUCUGACUCAGGGUCCUUCCUGGCAGUGCACGCUUUACUCAGCCGAGAUGGAUGCCAGUGAGAAGGAUUCUGGGAGGCAGUAGGACAUGCGGUGUCUCUUUUUUGACCUUUAUUGAACUCUUCCAGUUGUUGCUGUUGUUCAUUUGGCAUCAGGGUCUUUUUCAAUGAGUCAGUUCUUCGCAUAAGGUGGUGGAAAUAUUGGAGCUUCAGCUUCAGCAUCAGCCCUUCCAGUGACGAACAAGGGAGCUGUAGAGAGAGUCUCUGAAAGUUGUUCCCGCUGUCUGAGAGACACGAGGAGGAUGGAUUUUCAAAGGAUGGAGCAGAGCCCAGGGCUGCGUCCUUUGAAGCCAGGGCUCCUGAACAUGCCGUGCCGGUGUUACUGGUUCUUAGCAGCUGACUCGCAUACUGACAUGUCUUUGGGCUGGAUGCUGGAACACUGACACCUCUUUGGGCCAGAUGCUGGGAUAGACCCCCAAAGGGCAUGACCCCCACCCCCUGCCCCUGCUGUUGUUUUUUCUAACUUUUUGGUCGUGCCUUGAGGCAUGGUGGUAUCUUUGUUCCCCAUCCAGGGACCUUGGCCCCCUGCAUUGAAAGGGCGGAGUCUUAAC